CCCAUCUCCAACCGGGAAGAACAUGGCGGCGCCGACCACGCGCCUGCCUGGGCGAGCCGAGCGCGCGCCUGAAGAUGGCGGCUGCGAGCGCGCGCUGGGCGACGGCGGCGACUGCGGCGGCAAGAGCGCGCCUAGAGACAGCGGAGGCGAAGGCGCGCUCGGCGACGGCGGCGGCGAGCGCACGAUGGAAAACGGCAGCGGCAAGCGUGUGCCUGGCGAGGGCAAAGACUGCGGCGGCGACGGCGCAGCGCGCGAUUGGAGACGGCGCGUGGGCGAUGCGGCAAUGACGGCAGCGAAGGCGCGCCUGGACGUCGGCGGCGGCGAGCACGCCUGGACGCUGCGCAACUCCAUCGCCGGCCACCUCAAGCACCACGCCGGAGUCCACCCCAAGUUCCGCGGACUCAUCACCGGCCUCGCACAGAUUCUGUGGUAGGAGCAAAAGCUGCUAGGACACUUCAUAUAAACUCAAGUCUUGAAAAUGAGAAAGUGAACAACUUGCAUGAAAAGGUUUUAUCUCUCUCCCUCAGCUAAGCCAACCGUGUGGCGACAGGUGGCCCAAUGUUGGAAACAUUUUCUUUAGUAAGGUUGUUCACUUUCUCAUGCAAGUUUCUACUUGAAUUUUUUUUUUCUAAUGUAUGAAAGCCUCGGUGUUGCUCCCUCACCUAUCACUAUCUGCAAUGUUUCGUCUGUUUUAUAUCCAAGCUAUGUGUGCAAUAUUGUGUCUUCAACUCUGAUAACUGAACACCAGGCUUUAAAUGUAGUUUAAAGAUAGAAAUUUUGAACGGCAAGGACAUGCAAGGUUUAAGUUUUGUGAUAUUUAUGGUAAUCCACUACAUAUACUUCUAGCAAAUCUGCACUACAUGGAAAACAUUCUAUGCUUUCGAUAUGACACUAACAUUUUCCUGUCUAUAACAGAUUCAAGUUUUCAUGUUCGGUAACAGUACACCAGUUGGGCAAUUUGGAGCAUGUUAUGCUCAGUGAAUUUUGUCUAUGCGCAGGUUAAAGACUCUCAAAUCGAUUUAAACUUCUACGUAAGUAUUUAUAGCUUUAUUUUCUUUACUGCAACUGGUUUUGAUCGGUUGUAGAACACAAUGCAGAAAUUUGGCGUUAGAGCUCACCAAAAAUAUUUGUUCGCACCUACAACAAUAUGUUUCAGCCAAACUUCGAAUUAUUUCAUUAUUGGAUGCUUUCAUCUGCAUAAAUCGAAGCAAGGGGGAGAAGAAGGAGGUUCAGUUACAAAGCGCUUGGUUUUGUCUGGAGGGAGCCCCCUUUUGACUCUAUUCCUGGAGCCCUAAAUAUGGAGGUUAAAUUUUCUGCUUCUCUUACUCGUACCCUGGUUGUUCUACGUAUUCCUGUUUCAAAUGGAGCUUCAUAGGGGCAUGUUCUCUGUGCUAUUACCUUUCUAUAUUGUUGUUCCGUAGUCGAUAUAAAAUUAGGUGUGAAAGAAAAGAAGUGCAGGUUUGCGAACUGAGCAAUGAUAUAGUUUCAUUCAUUUGUGCUUACUAAUAAUAACAACUCUAUGUGAUAAAUGCAGAUCAAUUGUGAGGAUUUCAUGAAUGACAUACUGAGGCCUGUAUCUUUGUGGUCAUUUCCUUUUAAGACAGCUCACUUGGUAGAUGCAUCAUCUACCUAUGUUUAUUGAAAUCAUUUUAGGUACAGCAGUAAGUUGCAUAAGAUUCUUGUGGUCCAUCCUAGGAAUGAACAUGUAUUUAUCGAUUUCUUGGUCCCAGUAGGACACACAAAAUCUUUGUGAUCUGUCAAAUUGCUACAAAGCUAGACUGAUUUUUUAAUGAUAAAUUAAUUAAUUUCUAUCUAAAGCUACCUACAUUUGAUUUGUUCACCAAUGGAGGGAACUCUGAGACUUGGGUUUCCUGUUCUGCUAUAUCCAAAUGGAAAUAAUGCUCCUGGUUUACGAUUACCCUUCUUUAAUUACAGUAUCACUGUAAAAUUUCCUUUAUUUUGUAGAUUUUUUACUGUGGUGUACUUAAUACUGCUUUAAUUAUAGUAUGGCAGAGACCAUCUGAUGGCUGACAUGCCUUUAGAUCUCAUGCCCCAAAAUCAGGUGGCGGAGGCUUCUGAAGGUGGGGCUCGCAGUGCUCAACCACAAACUUGCUGCGCUUCACGGUGGUCCUUGGGAGCGACGAGAGGAAAACAUGAGGGAUGCUUCAAGAUUUGAUGCAGUUGAUGUGAGCCUCCGAUCUAUUUGCCUCCUCAGUUAUAUUUGUCGAUUUCGUCGUGUUUGUCAACUUUCCCCUUUUCGAUUUGGUUUCCUCUUUGGUGUGUGAGCUUACUAUGUCUUUGCAGUAAUUGUAUUGUGUGUGGCAUAGAUCUGGAAAUCUAUUAGGUGGUGGUAGUGCUCUGGUAGUGGAGUAUGUAAUAAAUGGAACUUUUUGUAGCGUUUCUGAAUAAUUUUCCUAAUGCAAGACAAAGGGGUUUAUCAGAGGAGAAAUAUCAUGGUUAUCUCACCUGGUCUUUCUUUAUGAUUUGUCAUCCUCUAAGUGAAAAUAAAUGUAAUGUAUUUAUAUGAGAUUGCUACCUAUCUUGAACAUUAGGAUUAGAGCUUAAAAAAUGAAUAAACUACAGUAUAAUUCACGAUGAUGAUAUUAAGUUUAUCCGUAUAGCUCUAUGUGUUUGUUGUUUUGUGUCCUUGCAUAGAAGUGGGGUAUCUCAUCGACCAUGUAGCAAGAAUUUUUGGAUUGAUCUCUCUCUUCCUGGGUGAUGUUGCAAUAUUUUUGGAUGCUGAAGAAGCAAAGUCUGUGGUCCUGUCUUGUUAUUCCUCUUAAAUUAAACUUACCAACGA